rnacentral:tRNA from 1 species
CCCUGGGUGGCCUAAAUGGUUAAGUGCUUGGUUAAUAACCAAAAGGUUGGUGGUUCAAGUCUACCCAGAGGAA